rnacentral:rRNA from 1 species
AGGAAUAUUGGUCAAUGGCCGAGAGUCUGAACCAGCCAAAUCGCGUGAAGGAAGACUGCCCUACGGGUUGUAAACUUCUUUUGUACAGGAAUAAAAGACAUUACGUGUAAUGUAUUGCAUGUACUGUACGAAUAAGCAUCGGCUAACUCCGUGCCAGCAGCCGCGGUAAUACGGAGGAUGCGAGCGUUAUCCGGAUUUAUUGGGUUUAAAGGGUGCGCAGGCGGGAUUUUAAGUCAGCGGUGAAAUUUUCAGGCUCAACCUGAACAGUGCCGUUGAAACUGGUAUUCUUGAGUAUAGAAGAGGUAGGCGGAAUUCGUUGUGUAGCGGUGACAUGCUUAGAUAUAACGAGGAACUCCGAUUGCGUAGGCAGCUUACUAAGCCACAACUGACGCGCAUGCACGAAGGCGUGG